rnacentral:lncRNA from 1 species
CUUAGUUUCUAAUAUUAACUCAAAUAUUAAAUAUAACUUUGGUUCUCUGACUCUUUUUUGGCAUUAUUAUAUUGUGGGUUAUUAUUCCUUGCAAACUUCCUUCUCUUUUCAUAGACAUGUUAUGACUUUCUUCUUUUUGGUAAAUAAAAAGUUAAAACACUUUUAACAAUGAAAUAAAUGUGUAAAUUUCGUAACAAUAAUAAAACUUUAUCAUCUGUUCAAUUCCUUACGAGGCACAUGAUUGCAUUGCACCAGUGAGGAAUUUCUUUCCAUUUCUCCAGGUGGUUCCUAUGUUACUUGGAAAUGGAUUCUAGUAACUGGUAAUAUAUAUGUCUACAAGGACAAAAACCAACAAUUUUUUUAACAACAUAAUAUAUAUUUAUCACUAAAAAUUAAAAUUUCACCAUUAUAAAACAUAUUUUUAUUAAAACAAAAAUAAUAUAAUAAUAGAAUUUACUUUCCCAGCAAAAAAAUAAAAUCUUUUAAAACAUAUCAAAGAGACCUUCUUUCAAAUCACGAACUGUGGCCAUUAGUAUUGUGUCAUUGUGUGUUUAAUUUCUCUAGCUCAAGCCUAACAAAUGAUGGUUUGAUUUCUAAUGUAAAGAAGCAAACUUGAGAACAAAGGGAUUUUGAUAAUUAUUCAAGGAAUCAUCAUUAACCCCUGAUGGAUAGCUCAGAAACCUUAUAAAAGAAACAACUACAACUAUGGAUCUCCCUUUUUAUGUAAAAUAUUUAAAGAAGAGGUGAAUAUUAUGGAGAAUCACAAAUUAUCAUCAAUAUACUGGGAGAAAGUUGUUAAAAGUUUCAAUUCCUUUAUAAUUAAUUGUGUGAGUGAAAAAAAAAAGAUAAAAGAGCUUACAUAGUUUUUGGAUGAAAAUGAAAUGGCAUGGCAGGGAUGACCGAAGCUGUCCUGAGGACGAGGAGGGAGACACCACGGAGCAGAGAUAGAGGGAUUUGCUGAUUUGGAUUUUGGGGACAAACCUUGUGUCUGAACAUAAUAGAUUAGAG